GAUUUUAGUCAGAGCUGAGUUUUCCUGGAAGCACAAGGAGAACAUUUCAUGUGAGAACAUGAUCAUUGCAAUGGUGACGUGUACUAAAGGUCCAUCAAAUUACCCUCAGUCCCAACCCCAAUAACUUCCAAAAAAGGUCACCACUUCUGGAGCUCAAUAUUGAUCAAAAAGCUAAAAUCUUUCCAAUAGGAGACAAUGUGGCCAUUUAUAUAUAUAUAUUCCAUCUAAGGUUAUGGAUAAUGAAUUUCAUGGUGUUUGGGCUAUCUCCAGGGAUAUCUCCAUUCUUCUGAGGCCAUUAACUUCUUAGCUUAGCUGUAGGUCUCUCAUAAAAGAUCACCAAUGAAAUUUAUGGGAACCUAUUUGACCUCUUUCGGGUGGACAGUCAAAUGCCAUGGAUCCAUUAUAAUGGAUGCCCGAUGGUCAUCUCCUCAUAAGUCUAUUUAUAAAAAUGCUACAUUUACGAAGGGCUAUGGAAGUCACAGUUUAACAGACAUCUCCAGAGAUUUCAGAAGACGUCCAGAUGGACAUGGACAUCAACAAAAUUCCAUAAAAACAAUGCAAACUGACAUUCUUCCCAUGAAUUCCAGGAACAGAACAAUUCAUUACUGGAGCCACAUGCCUUUGUUUUAUACAAAAAACUAUAAUCUUCUGCCACUAAAUGCAUUGUUUAAUUAAUUAGCAUUGACACCCCCCCUCCCAAGGGUUAACCAGCACUUCACAAACAAUGGUCUAGCACAUUAGAUUUGAUUUAUAAGAAACCAUCUGAACAAAACACCCUACAAAGAUAUGAGUCAGACUUCACUAGAGAAACAUAUUGUACGUCUCUUAGAUUGGGUUCUUCCAUAUGCAUUGAUAAACUGUACAGGUCUUCUAUGUUUCUUCCAGUCAUAAAGGCAUCAUCUCCAGUUGAGACUGGAUCUACACCGAUGGUGAAUUGUGAUCAUAGAAGGCCACACCAAUGAAGUUUGGAAGCCAUGAAGCAUGCACGGUUCCAGAGAAAGAGGAUUGUACCAUGAAAAAUGGAAUAAGAGAGCCCCUGACUUAUAACCACAAUUGGAAACAGAAUUAUUCUAAUCCCUUGGAAGUUAUUUGAUUUUGGAAUGAAAGUUGAAAUUCUUGGAAUCCACCAUGCAACAGAUAAAGAUCUAAAGCAGAUCUUCAAAAUACACUAUACGGUGCUCUAUCGGAAGGCAAAAUCUUCAAAGCUUCCAUCCAUUUAAUUCUCCCUUCUGUUUUGCUGUUUUGAUGCCAAAUGUUUAUUAUUUGAAAAUGUUUGUUGAAUAAAACUAGC